rnacentral:ncRNA from 1 species
UAUCUUUGCGCCCUCAUUGAACGUCAAUGAGAUACAUAAAAAUCAUUAAUACAAUAUUGGAAUG